CCUACGGGAGGCAGCAGUGAGGAAUAUUGGUCAAUGGCCGCAAGGCUGAACCAGCCAAGUCGCGUGAGGGAUGACGGUCCUAUGGGUUGUAAACCUCUUUUGUCGGGGAGCAAAGGGCGCCACGUGUGGCGUUUUGCGAGUACCUGAAGAAAAAGCAUCGGCUAACUCCGUGCCAGCAGCCGCGGUAAUACGGAGGAUGCGAGCGUUAUCCGGAUUUAUUGGGUUUAAAGGGUGCGCAGGCGGAAUGUCAAGUCAGCGGUAAAAUUUCGGGGCUCAACCCCGUCGUGCCGUUGAAACUGGCGGUCUUGAGUGAGCGAGAAGUAUGCGGAAUGCGUGGUGUAGCGGUGAAAUGCAUAGAUAUCACGCAGAACUCCGAUUGCGAAGGCAGCAUACCGGCGCUCAACUGACGCUCAUGCACGAAAGCGUGGGUAUCGAACAGGAUUAGAUACCCGUGUAGUC
rnacentral:rRNA from 1 species